rnacentral:lncRNA from 1 species
UAGAAACGGUGCUCUGUAGUCUGGUUAUACGAUUUCACAACACUGGCCGCUGUCGUUAGCACUUAGGUCCUGCCUCCAGGAUCUGCCUGAGUUCCUGCCCUGACAGCUCCGGAUGAUGGGCGGUGAUGUGAAAGUGUGAUGCAAAGCAAUUCUCCCCUCUACAUCUUCCUUGCUUUAGGGCAACAGAAACAAGGCGCCAAGCUUACAGAUGAGGAUGGCUCUGCCAAGCUCAGGUUUGCCUGUCGUGAUCUCCACCAUCACCUUGUCCCCAGAGGGACCACCAGGCAAGGCAGGGCAGAGCCCAGGAGAGACCAAAGGCCCUUGGGAGGCUCAGCUCCUGUUAUAGGGAAACUGGGGUUUCCUUUUGUGGAUUCUGAGACAAAAUAAUUUCAGAUAGACUCAGAGGGAAGCUUGUGGACUCUUUUAUUGGCGCUCAGGAGUAAACCACAAGGUCAGGAAGCUACAAACCUCAACUGCUGCCUGGAAAGGGGAGCUGGAGAGGAGAGCAUGACAUGCCUUCCGAGGCACCUGCAGUUAUGUGCAUCAAAUAUAGCCUGAAAGUGUGAAAUGGAAAUUUCCAGAAACAAACAAUUCUUCCAUUUUAAACUGUGCGUCAGGGGGGCUGGAAAGAUGGCUCGGUGGCUACAGGAGCUUGCUGCCAAGCUUGAUGACCCGACUUUGGUCCCCAGGAUCCACAUGAUGAAAGGAGAGAACCAACCUCCAAAAAUUGUCCUCUGACUUC